AGCAGCCGCCGCGGUAAUACGAAGGGGGCUAGCGUUGCUCGGAAUUACUGGGCGUAAAGGGAGCGUAGGCGGACUUUUAAGUCAGGGGUGAAAUCCCGGGGCUCAACCUCGGAAUUGCCUUUGAUACUGGGUGUCUUGAGUAUGAGAGAGGUAUGUGGAACUCCGAGUGUAGAGGUGAAAUUCGUAGAUAUUCGGAAGAACACCAGUGGCGAAGGCGACAUACUGGCUCAUUACUGACGCUGAGGCUCGAAAGCGUGGGGAGCAAACAGGAUUAGAUACCCCCGUAGUCCCUGUCUCUUAUAC
rnacentral:rRNA from 1 species